GGGCCUGUAGCCUAGUGGAUAAGGCAUCAGCCUUCUAAGCUGAGGAUCGGGGGUUCGAAUCCUCCCAGGCCCG
rnacentral:tRNA from 1 species